CCUACGGGAGGCAGCAGUCGGGAAUAUUGCGCAAUGGAGGAAACUCUGACGCAGUGACGCCGCGUGCAGGAAGAAGGUCUUCGGAUUGUAAACUGCUUUAGAUAGGGAAGAAAAAAGACAGUACCUGUAGAAUAAGCUCCGGCUAACUACGUGACAGCAGCCGCGGUAAUACGUAGGGAGCGAGCGUUAUCCGGAUUUAUUGGGUGUAAAGGGUGCGUAGACGGAGAAGCAAGUUAGUUGUGAACUGCCUCGGCUUAACUGAGGAACUGCAACUAAAACUACUUCCCUUGAGUACUGGUGAGGUAAGUGGAAUUCCUGGUGUAGCGGUGAAAUGCGUAGAUAUUACGAAGAACACCGAUGGCGAAGGCAACUUUCUGGACAGUAACUGACGUUGAGGCACGAAAGUGUGGGGAGCAAACAGGAUUAGAUACCCCUGUAGUC
rnacentral:rRNA from 1 species